rnacentral:rRNA from 1 species
CCUACGGGUGGCAGCAGUGGGGAAUAUUGGGCAAUGGGCGAAAGCCUGACCCAGCAACGUCGCGUGAAGGAAGACGGCCCUAGGGUUGUAAACUUCCUUUUACAGGGAAGAGCAGAAGACGGUACCUGUCGAAUAAGCCACGGCUAAAUACGUGCCAGCAGCCGCGGUAAUACGUAGGUGGCAAGCGUUGUCCGGAUUUACUGGGUGUAAAGGGCGUGUAGACGGGCUGACGAGUCAGAUGUGAAAUGCGGGGGCUCAACCCCCGAACUGCAUUUGAAACUGUUGGUCUUGAGUAUAGGAGAGGUAGGCGGAAUUCGUAGUGUAGCGGUGAAAUGCGUAGAUAUUAGGAAGAACACCGGUGGCGAAGGCGGCCUGCUGGACGACAACUGACGGUGAGGCGCGAAAGCGUGGGGAGCAAACAGGAUUAGAUACCCCGGUAGUC